UACCUGCAGCUCAAGUGGUGGCCGUUAUUAUUGGGCCUAGAACGUCCGUAGCCGGUUUCAUAAAUGCCUGGGUAAAUCGUACGGCUUAACCGUAUGAAUUCCGGGUAGACUGUUUAACUUGAGACCGGGAGAGGCUAGAGGUACUCCUGGGGUAGAGGUGAAAUUCUGUAAUCCUAGGGGGACCACCAGUGACGAAGGCGUCUAGCUAGAACGGGUCUGACGGUGAGGGACGAAGCCCUGGGGAGCAAACGGGAUUAGAUACCCCGGUAGUCCAGGGUGUAAACGCUGCUCGCUUGAUGUUAGUCGGGCUCCGAGCCCAACUAGUGUCGGAGAGAAGUUGUUAAGCGAGCUGCCUGGGAAGUACGGUCGCAAGACUGGAACUUAAAGGAAUUGGCGGGGGAGCACCGCAACGGGUGGAGCGUGCGGUUU
rnacentral:rRNA from 1 species